GAUCAAGGGCCUGAGAAAGAAGUUUAUUCAAAGGAUGUUUAGAAAGGCGAGGAAGAGGCGUGUCUCUGAGGAAGACUCUAACUGAAACAUCAGCUUUUCCUGUGUCUCAAGCCUGCCAGCGUUCUGACUGGGUCUCUUGCUUGCCAACUGAAGAUCUUGAAUCUUGCCAGCCUUCAUAAUCAUGCACGCUGUUGAGGGCUUUGCAAUGGAUCUUCACAACUCUCCAAGGUGGGUACUCUGAUCCCUCAUUUAUGAGGACACCUAUGUUCAGGGAGGCCCUCUCGUUAGGAGAGUAGGAAUUAUUAAAUUAUAGCUAGCAUUCACUGAGUCUC